CAGCCGCCGCGGUAAAACGGAGGGUGCAAGCGUUAAUCGGAAUUACUGGGCGUAAAGCGCACGCAGGCGGUUUGUUAAGUCAGAUGUGAAAUCCCCGGGCUCAACCUGGGAACUGCAUUUGAAACUGGCAAGCUAGAGUCUCGUAGAGGGGGGUAGAAUUCCAGGUGUAGCGGUGAAAUGCGUAGAGAUCUGGAGGAAUACCGGUGGCGAAGGCGGCCCCCUGGACGAAGACUGACGCUCAGGUGCGAAAGCGUGGGGAGCAAACAGGAUUAGAUACCCCUGUAGUCCCUGUCUCUUAUAC
rnacentral:rRNA from 1 species